UUGGGGCUGGUUUUGGGCUCUGGCCCUGUAUCCCACAGGAGAAGCAGGACAAGGUGUUUUUGGGGUGUUUUAGGGUGGUUUUGGGGUGGUUUUAUGCUGUUUUGUGGCUCUGACCCUGUAUCCCAUAGGAGAAGCAGGACAAGGUGGUUUUAGAGCAGUUUAGGUGUGGUUUUGGGGUGUUUUUGUGUUGGUUUUGUGCUCUGACCCUGUAUCCCAUAGGAGAAGCAGGACAAGGUGGCUUU